UACGUAGGGGGCAAGCGUUGUCCGGAAUCAUUGGGCGUAAAGCGCGCGUAGGCGGCCCGGUAAGUCCGCUGUAAAAGUCCAGGGCUCAACCCUGGAAAGCCGGUGGAUACUGUCGGGCUAGAGUCCGGAAGAGGCGAGUGGAAUUCCUGGUGUAGCGGUGGAAUGCGCAGAUAUCCGGAGGAACGCCGGUGGCGAAGGCGGCUUCCUGGACCGACACUGACGCUGAGGCGCGAAAGCUAGGGGAGCAAACGGG
rnacentral:rRNA from 1 species